rnacentral:ncRNA from 1 species
UCCACAUUUUAUGGAUUUGUUAAUUAUAAUUAACUUUGUUAUUAAGAAUUGGCUUUAAUUUUAUAAUUACAUGUAAGUUUUUGCGGGUUGAUUAUUCUCUUAAUGAUUAAUAAUUAUAUUUGCAGUUUUUAGUUUUAGUAUUUAAAGAAAUUUAGAUCUAUAUAAUUUUUAUUGAACUGUAUAAGAUUGUGCCAGCAUAUGCGGUUAUACAUUCAGUUCUAGUUAAUUUUCUUGAUUUGCAUUUAUACUUUAUGUUGAAAUUUUAUUUUUAAAUGUUAGGUGAAAUUUUAUUUAUUUUAAUUUUUUGGUUGUAGAUUAUAUGUUAAUAUUAGAUUUGAAACUAGGAUUAGAUACCCUAUUAUUCUAAUUUUAAAAAUAAAAGUCUUGGGAUUAAUAGUUAUGUUCUUUAAAUUAAAAAGGUUUGGCGGUAAUUUAAUCUUUUCAGAGGAACCUGUUCUUUAAUUGAUAAUCCACGUUGUAUUUUACCUUUAUUUUAUUUGUAUACCUCUAUCAUUAGAAUGUUCUUUAAGGAAUUAAUUUUCAUUAAUUUAAUAUUAAGAUAAUGUUAAGUCAAGGUGCAGUUAUGUAAAGGGUUGAAAUGGGUUACAUUUAAUGUUUAUUUAUCGGAUUUAUUAUUGGUAUAUAAUAUUGAAGUAGGAUUUGAAAGUAAGUUGAUUUAUUUUAAUUAACUGACUUUGGCUCUAAAUUAUGUACAUAUCGCCCGUCACUCUCAUUUAUUUAUUGAUGAGAUAAGUCGUAACAAAGUAAUUUUACUGGAAGGUGAGGUUGGUUAAU